rnacentral:rRNA from 1 species
AGUGAACGCUGGCGGUAGGCCUAACACAUGCAAGUCGAACGGCAGCACAGUAAGAGCUUGCUCUUACGGGUGGCGAGUGGCGGACGGGUGGGGAAUACAUCGGAAUCUACUUUUUCGUGGGGGAUAACGUAGGGAAACUUACGCUAAUACCGCAUACGACCUACGGGUGAAAGCAGGGGAUCUUCGGACCUUGCGCGAUUGAAUGAGCCGAUGUCGGAUUAGCUAGUUGGCGGGGUAAAGGCCCACCAAGGCGACGAUCCGUAGCUGGUCUGAGAGGAUGAUCAGCCACACUGGAACUGAGACACGGUCCAGACUCCUACGGGAGGCAGCAGUGGGGAAUAUUGUACAAUGGGCGCAAGCCUGAUCCAGCCAUACCGCGUGGGUGAAGAAGGCCUUCGGGUUGUAAAGCCCUUUUGUUGGGAAAGAAAAGCAGCAGGUUAAUACCCCGCUGUUCUGACGGUACCCAAAGAAUAAGCACCGGCUAACUUCGUG